rnacentral:rRNA from 1 species
GCGGUUGCCACGGCGGCUGGCGGCAAGGGGACGGUAAGGCCACCGACGGCGUCGACGCUGCUCGUGGCGUGUCUGCACGGCCGGCAGCCGCUCUUCCGCGGCCGGGCGGCCAACGGGUGCAUGCCACGGGUGUUCCGCGUGCCGCCGUAGGCGCCCAGCCGGUACGCCAACUACCACACCCUCGACGCCGGCGCGUGCGACAACGGCGGUGGCCGGAACCGGAAGCCGCGAGCGGAGCUGAGCAUCGUACCGUGUUCUUUCUUUGGAGAAGAUCCUGGAUUCUUUUUUUACAAACAAUAUAUAUACACAAUGCUGAAAGAUUAA